CAGUGUGAGGAGGCUGGGCUAUAAAAAGAUGUUCAGUUGGAGCGGAGUGGGAUGGCAGUGAGGGUUCUGGAGAUUGGGUCUUGUGUUUGAGGUGCAGUCCUGAGACUACCAGGCAGCAGAAGCUGUUUUCUGAAGGCCCUACAGCUGAUAAGAUUCUCCAGAUACCUCUCUUCUGGCACUUUAUAUCUGAUGGGGGAAGUAUCUGAAGAUUGGUGAAAAGCUGCAGACACCCUGGUGCAAAAUCAAAGAAGCUUUGGAACAUCUCAAUCAAUGGAGAUGGAGUGUUCUCCAUAUUCUGGACAUAUUGCUGUAUUUUACAGGCCAGCCAGGGAAGUAACUGAAUACACUUCCUUGGAGAAAGAAUAGAAGGCUCAGAAGAUGUCCAAAUCUGGUGCACCCCUGCUGCAUCAGGCAUAUUGUUCUAGGCUGCUGUGCAAAUGUGGCUGCCAGGGGCUUCUGGAGACCAUGACUAAUGAUGGAUUUGUGAAGCUUCUAUGUAGAUCCCAUGUCUGACAAAACCCACAAAUUCAAGGUCCCCAGAAAUAAGAAAAGGAGGGAACAGAAGAAUUACAUAGGAAGGUUAGGAGGAAUUGCUUGGAGAUGACUGCCCCACCUUAUGAGUUGGGGGCUCUUCAUUGAAAAGGCAGUGAUCCCAUUGAGCAAAUAAGAUAAACCACAUCAUUGUAUAAGAAGAGGAAAAAAACAAUCAUUCAACAGCAGCAAAACCUACCAAAUGUUUUCACACGGAUUAGUUUCUAAGACUGGGACAAAUCUUUCUGGGGGAAGAAGAGGAGGAGUAAGCAAACACAACUCUCAUUUGGAACAAGAAUUAAGAAGAUGAAACGUGAAGAAAUGCUGACUUGGACUGAUCUAAUCGCUAAACUGUAGUUCAGGGGUGUGAGCUCUGAAGCCGAGGCUGGGACUCCAGAAAACACCUGGACAGGUAUGCCAAGCCAAACUGAGCACUGGAAAUGACCUUCAGUGAUCUUUUCCAACGCCAAAGGUGCUCUGAAUGUGAAGCAUGCUUGCUUGCUGUGAUACGAAGAAGACACUCUGCUCUGCAUGGAAUCUGUAUUUUCAGGAGGACAACAGGAGUUAUGUGGGCCCUGAUUCCCUGCCCGAGCCCUGUGGAGGAAGGAGCGUUCACGUUCACAUGUUCUUCGUUGUUUCAAGAUUAUUUAAGGAACCACUGCUGUUGGACUAGCAGGGGAUCUUCCCUUUGCUGACCUUUGCCAGAGCAGCUGAUUGGUGUGCCCCAGCUGCGUGCCAUCGUUUUCUUGGGAAAGUUUGAAGACUGUCAGAAAAAUGAGCAUCUUCUUUCCUAGCCCUCACUGACGUGUAUGGGCUCUGCUGGCCUUUCCAGCUCCAGUGUGGGAGGGGUUCUUUGUUUUCCUUUUAAAUGUUAUCCUGCCACCCUCCUUUUUUAACAAUGCUGUAUAUACAUGAAGGCUCGCUGUGUAUUCAGCGUGGCACAUGGAUGGAGUGGAUGCUUUGAACUGCUUUUGCAACAAUGGAUUCUGCUUGACUGAUAAUGAAACCAUGGGAUAGACCUCAGGGAGGUAAUGCUGGUUGAAGUUGAAGAGGCUGAAAAAUUCUCCUCUGCAUCAUGCAGUCCAUUGUUACAUGUCCUUGCCUCGGAGCUGAAGUCAAAGUUUCUGUUUGUAACAGAAUCAACGUGUCAUUAAGGAAUUGAGGCUCCAUUGCUUGGCACAGGCACGAGAGGAAGA